CCUUAACCCUACCCCUAACCCUAGAUGUGUUGAUUGCCAAGGCCCUGGGAUGAAAUUCUCAAGAGAAGAACCUUGGAAGCUGAGAAUUGGAACCGGUUGCCAUAAGGUCCACUUUUGGAUUGCCCCAAUGUUGUGUCAGAUGACUGAAGACCUUCGGGUGUAACUGCCAUUUGUUGAGGUCUAGGUGAUGGCAACUGAGAUAAUCUGCUCUGGAGUUCUCUUCUCCCGGAACAUACAUAGCCACAAGCCCCAAAACCAUUACUUGAGCCCAAUUCAUGAUUGGUUCCAGUUGCCUUGUCUGUUUAUGUAUGAAACUGCUGUGUGGUUGUCCAUCCUUAUCUUUACUCAUUUCCCCUUUCCCCUUUUCAUCCUGGAAAUGCAGAAGAGCCAUCUAAGUUGCUCUGAGUUCCAGAAGGUUCACUGGAAUAUCAGAGGCCUUGUGAUUCCACAUGCCUUGAAAAUUCCUGUGAAGUAGAUUUGCUUCCCAACCUGUACCGCUGGCAUCC